CUCCACCCAUGGGGCCCCUCAGCCCUUCUCUCUUCUUCCUCCCCAACACGAACCCUCCUUAGGAGACGGUCAGGCAUGCGAGGUGUGCAUCCCCACAGGCCAGGUCUUGGGAGCCAUGGAGAAGUAGGAGCGGAUGAAUACCGUGUGGGGCAGUGGGCGCCAAAGUGGAGCUGUGUUUACUCGAUCUCUGUUAAUCGAGUGGGGCUGAUGUAGAUGGGACUGGAGAGAGAGGCAGUGAUGAGGGCAAGAUUCGUCGCACCAAUAGAGCUCUCUGUAGUGAUAGUUCUUGCUUGGCUUUAUUAGUUUGCAGAGAAAUGAUCCAGGAGCCCUAGCCGGACAAGAAUAUGGCGGAAGUCGACCUGAGCGGCCUGGACAUCCUUCUAAGGAGACAUGAAUACUCCUCAUAUAUCUGCCUUCUGCAUCGCUGGCUGUGAGUAGGAGUACCAAAGAAAACAAAGUCAUGCGUCAGUCUACUGUCCUCAUGGGUUGGAAAGAGAGCGAGAGCAUCGAGACUCUGAGCAUUGUUGAUGUCACGCAAAAGCCAUCCAUCUGGGAGCUGAGGAGACUCCGCUGUCAGUGAGAUAAGUGUCUUGUUUCAUGAGGGCUCUGCUCACGCCCAACCUGAGUCCAGGUAGGAAAGGCCAGUACGGUAGGGCUGGGCUUUUAUGAAAAGGUUCCUGACUAGCUGUGGUUACGAGGGACAAAAAGUCUCUAUUUUGAGAGGUUGCUCACUUCUCUGGUCAGGAACGGUGUCUCCUCCGCAGCACAAGGUUGCAUCCAGGAGGAUGAUUCCAGGUGGUGAGUGCUUGCUUUCCUCCAAUGUUUUCCUUUCUCUCUCUCUCUCUUCUCUAGUACAUUGGCCAACACGCACCCUCUAGCUCCCUCUGUCUGUCCUUGCCUUUCCUCGUGUUGUCUCCCUUCGUAAGACAUGGGCAGGCGUGCUACGUGUGCAUCCCCACAGGCUUUCUCUCGGGAGCCAUGGAGAAGUAGGAGGGGACGAAAAUCAUGCAGGGCAGUGGGUGCGAGAGUGGAGCGGUGACUGCUGGUGUUAACUCGGUCUCUGUUCAUCGAGUGGGGCUGAUGUAGAUGGGAUUGGAGAGGGAGGGCAAGAUUUGAAACAACAAAUAGAGCUUUAAGUAGUGAUGGCUCAUGCUUGGCUUUUGCAGCUUCGCUUCCAGAGGAAUUUUCCAAGAGCCCUAGCCCGAGGAGAAAGUGGCAGAAGUGGACAUGAGCAGACUGGACAUCCUUGUCAGCAGAUAUGAACAGUUUUCAGCUUUCUGACUCCCGCAUAACUGGCUUUUGCAGAGGAAUCAUCCAGGAGCCCUAGCUGGACGAGAAUAUGGCGGAAGUGGACCUGAGCUGCCUGGACAUCCUUCUAACGAGACAUGAAUAGUCCUCCUGUUUCUGCCUUCUGCAUCGCUGGCUGUGAGUAAGAGGUUUAGUACCAAGGAAAACGAAGUCACACGUCAGUCUAUUGUCCUCAUGCGAUGGAAAGCGAGCCAGAGCGUCGAGACUCUGAGCAUUGUUGAUGCCACGCAAAAGACGUCCAUCUGGGAGCCGAGGAGACGCCGCUGUCAGUGAGAUAAGUGUCUGGUUUGGUGAGGGCUCUGCUCACGCCCAACCUGAGUCCAGGUUGGGAAGCCCACUAAGUUAGGGCUGGGUUUGUAUGAAAAGGUUCCUGACUAGCUGUCAUUACGAGAGGGAAAAGGUCCCUAUUUUCAGAGGUUGCUCAUUUCUCUGGUCAGGAACGGUGUCUCCUCCGCAGCGGAAGGUUGGAUUCAGGAGGAUGACUCCAGGUGGUCAGUUGCUUGCUGUCCUCCCAUUUUUCUCUCUCUCUCUCCUCUUGUGUGUUGGCCAACUUUCUCACUCUUUCCUCUCCUGUUCUCGUGCCGUCUCCCUUCGUAGGAGACGGGCAGGCUUGCUCGGUGUGCAUCCCCG